rnacentral:rRNA from 1 species
AUUGAACGCUGUCGGCAGGCCUACACAUGCAAGUCGAGCGGCGCGGCCGACGGGUGAGUAAUGCCUAGGAAUCUGCCUGGUAGUGGGGGAUUACGUCCCGAAACGGGGGCUACUACCGCCUACCAUCCGCUGAGCCGCGGUCGGAUUAGCUAGUUGGUGGGGUAAAGGCCUACCAAGGCGAAGAUCCGUAACUGGUCUGAGAGGAUGAUCAGUCACAAUGGAACUGAGACACGGUCCAGACUCCUACGGGAGGCAGAAGUGGGGAAUAUUGGACAAUGGGGGAAAGCCUGAUCCAGCCAUGCCGCGUGUGUGAAGAAGGUCUUCGGAUUGUAAAGCACUUUAAGUUGGGAGGCGUUACCAACAGAAUAAGCACCGGCUAACUUCGUGCCAGCAGCCGCGGUAAUAC